UACGUAGGGGGCUAGCGUUGUCCGGAAUCAUUGGGCGUAAAGCGUGCGUAGGCGGCCCGGUAAGUCCGCUGUAAAAGUCAAAGGCUCAACCUUUGAAAGCCGAUGGAUACUGCCGGGCUAGAGUCCGGAAGAGGCGAGUGGAAUUCCUGGUGUAGCGGUGGAAUGCGCAGAUAUCAGGAGGAACACCGAUAGCGAAGGCAGCUCGCUGGGACGGUACUGACGCUAAGGCGCGAAAGCGUGGGGAGCGAACAGG
rnacentral:rRNA from 1 species